rnacentral:rRNA from 1 species
AUGGAGCUGAUGGAAACCGAGGCCGCUGGCGAGGAGAACGUGCGCGGCAACAACGACGACGCCGCCGCCACCGAAGAAGAGGCCGGUGCUGAUGAUCCCGCCGGCGAAGAGGCCGCCAAGGCUGCCGCCGCAGAAGCUGGCGAGGAAUCCGGCGAUCGCACUGACGGCCCCGAGGCCGCAGGAGCGCCAGGCGCUGCACCGACCGCCGAUCCCUCUGCCGCUGCUGCAGCGCCAGGCUCCGAAGAGCCCCAGCCCGGCGCCUAUUUUAAGGCCGGCGAUGGCGUCUUCAUCAAGCUCCCCUGGGCGUCGAGCUCCAGGGCGCCGGUCGAAAGGGAAACUUUUGACGAAGAGGUGCUCCCCUCCGCUGGGCUGGCGCUGGUCGAUGCGCCAAGCAGCAGCAGCGACGAGCCUGAGGAGGAGCGGCUGCUGUGGAAGCUGCUGUCGCACUACCGCACCCGACAAGCCAAGCUGGCAUCCUGA